rnacentral:lncRNA from 1 species
AUGAGCGGGAAAAAGGUGGGAAAAGGGCCAGGAAAAAGGUGGGAAAAAAGUGGGAAAGGGACAGGAAAAGGAUGGGAAAGGGGUGAGAAAAAAAUGGGAAAGGGAUGGGAAAGAAGUGGGAAAAGGGUGGGAAAAGGGUCAGGAAGAGAAUGGGAAAAAAUUUUGGGAAGAGUGGAAAAGGGGUGGGAAAAAGGCGGGAAAAAGGUGGGAAAAUUGUGGGAAAAAGGCGGGAAAGGGAUGGGAAAAAGGUGGGAAAAUUGGGGGAAAAAGGCGGGAAAAGGGUGGGAAAAUUGUGGGAAAAAAGUGGGAAAAGGGGUGGGAAAGAGAUCUGGAAAAUGGGAAUGGGAUUUCUUGGGAAUGGGAAUUGUGGGAAUGGGAUUUACAGGAAUUAUGGGAAUGGGAUUUUUGGGAAUUGUGGGAUUUUUGGGAAUUGUGGGAAUGGGAUUUACGGGAAUUGUGGGAAUUGUGGGAAUUGCGGGAUUGGGAUUUACAGGAAUUGUGGGAAUUGUGGGAAUGGGAAUUGUGGGAUUUGUGGGAAUUGUGGGAAUGGGAAUUGUGGGAUUUGUGGGAAUUGUGGGAAUGGGAUUUACAGGAAUUGUGGGAAUUGUGGGAAGGGGAUUGAUGGGAUUUGUGGGAAUUGUGGGAUUUUUGGGAAUUGUGGGAAUUGUGGGAUUGGGAUUUUUGGGAAUUGUGGGAAUGGGAUUUACAGGAAUUGUAGGAAUGGGAUUUUUGGGAAUUAUGGGAAUGGGAUUUACAGGAAUUGUGGGAAUUGUGGGAAUGGGAUUUUUGGGAUUUAUGGGAAUUGUGGGAAUGGGAUUUUUGGGAAUUAUGGGAAUGGGAUUUACAGGAAUUGUGGGAUUUGUGGGAAUUGUGGGAUUUGUGGGAAUUGUGGGAAUGGGAUUUUUGGGAAUUGUGGGAAUGGGAUUUAUGGGAAUUUUGGGAUCCUCCCUCUCCCCCUUCCCUUCCCCCUCUGGAAUUUCCCGGGACCUGCGGGCGGGUGAAUUCCCGGGAUAA